AUGACCAUCGCGACAAGCGCGACCGUGACCGGCGGCGCCGCCGUCCUAGCACCAGCUCGGAGUCGCGAAAGGUCAGCCAGUGCAAAGGUAGGUUUGGAGCUUAAUUCCUCAUAUCUUUCCACACUGGUUUCGAUAUCUGCAGAUACUACUCGACCUUGGGAACACGUUGUGAUGCUUACGGAGGAGAUUAAGAAGGGCACCGGUUCCGUCCCUGACGUCGAGGUUACCAUCUGGUAA
rnacentral:rRNA from 1 species